ACAAUUGUCUCAUGAAUUCGUGGU
rnacentral:siRNA from 1 species